rnacentral:rRNA from 1 species
CAGGACGAACGCUGGCGGCGUGCUUAACACAUGCAAGUCGAACGGAGCGCCUAUGAAGGAGAUUUCGGUCAACGGAAUAGGCUGCUUAGUGGCGGACGGGUGAGUAACGCGUGAGGAACCUGCCUUUCAGAGGGGGACAACAGUUGGAAACGACUGCUAAUACCGCAUAACACAUAGGUGUCGCAUGGCAUUUAUGUCAAAGAUUUAUCGCUGAAAGAUGGCCUCGCGUCUGAUUAGCUAGUUGGUGAGGUAACGGCUCGCCAAGGCGACGAUCAGUAGCCGGACUGAGAGGUUGGCCGGCCACAUUGGGACUGAGAUACGGCCCAGACUCCUACGGGAGGCAGCAGUGGGGAAUAUUGGGCAAUGGGCGCAAGCCUGACCCAGCAACGCCGCGUGAAGGAAGAAGGCUUUCGGGUUGUAAACUUCUUUUGACAGGGAAGAGUAGAAGACGGUAC